rnacentral:rRNA from 1 species
UACGGGGGAGCAAGCGUUGUUCGGAUUUACUGGGCGUAAAGGGCGCGUAGGCGGCCACCGCAAGUCGACUGUGAAAUCUCCGGGCUUAACCCGGAAAGGUCAGCCGAUACUGCGGGGCUAGAGUGCAGAAGGGGCAACUGGAAUUCUCGGUGUAGCGGUGAAAUGCGUAGAUAUCGAGAGGAACACCUGCGGCGAAGGCGGGUGCUGGGCUGACACUGACGCUGAUGCGCGAAAGCUAGGGGAGCGAACGGG